CACAUCCGGGAUGUCGCAUUCAUUCUUUGUUUUUCGCGUCCGUGAUGUCACAUCCGUCCUUGGUUUUGGCGGCAGAAUGGCAAGCUCAAAGGUGAGCUACGCUCAAACAACUGGACAAAGAUGUGGAUCGUUUAUUUUUUGGGGCUUGUGCAAGCGUAAGCUAUCGUUCCUUACCAGCUUAUUUUCCUUGUGACGCAUCCCGCGAACCGCCGCACCGAUCAGCCAGUGCUACAGUGUGCUGGAAGCCAUCAUCUGGUGCUGUGUACAGCAAGCACAUGCUUCGGGCAAGGAGGGAGCCAGCACCAUAUCUACACCAGCAAGAACCUCGGUGCUCAAAAUAAACAUUUUC